rnacentral:lncRNA from 1 species
GAGGAGGGUGGUGUGACUACUGCAGGGGCUUCAGCUUUUGCACCCCGAAGCGACGUCAGUUCUAGCUUCAGAGCUGGAUCCAUCUAGAAACUACACUGAUAGGUUUAGAUGGAGCGCCAACUUCGUCAACGACUGUGGGGAUGGUUGAGAUAGCACUGAUGGAAAUGGAGGGGAAGAUCGACGUGACGAUGGAGAGGAAGGAGACGGCAGAGACAGCUUCUUUUGUCUUCUCGUGAGAAGGACGAAGAAAGAAAAAUAGUACAAGUAGAGUAGAUAUGUGGUGGAUGGUAAAAAAUAUAUAUAAAAACUAAAAAUUAAAACUUGAUAUGCGGUGUUGUGGAAGAUUAUCUUAUAAUCUUAGAUGUCAAUAUAGAAUACCACUCUUAAUAUCUAUAUAUUAUUCUUAUUAUAUAAAUUUUAUGGUACUUCAAAAAUAUGGUUAUAAAAUGGCAAACGGUAUUUUUCUUGUUAAGAAUUUUAUCAGAAAAGCUUUACUUUCGGAAAUUCUAUGGACAAAAACUUAUUUUAGGUUGCCACCAUGAUUUCAUCUAUUUGCAGAGGCUCUGAAGUAAAAAUUAUUUAUACCAUACAGUUAACAGUAAUUAAUCAUGGCUUAGAAAUUUUCACUGGUAUC